AUGAACGCUGGCGGCGUGCUUAACACAUGCAAGUCGAACGGAAAGGCCCAAGCUUGCUUGGGUACUCGAGUGGCGAACGGGUGAGUAACAUGUGGGUGAUCUGCCCUGCACUUCGGGAUAAGCCUGGGAAACUGGGUCUAAUACCGGAUAGGACGAUGGUUUGGAUGCCAUUGUGGAAAGUUUUUUCGGUGUGGGAUGAGCUCGCGGCCUAUCAGCUUGUUGGUGGGGUAAUGGCCUACCAAGGCGUCGACGGGUAGCCGGCCUGAGAGGGUGUACGGCCACAUUGGGACUGAGAUACGGCCCAGACUCCUACGGGAGGCAGCAAUGGGGAAUAUUGCACAAUGGGCGCAAGCCUGAUGCAGCGACGCCGCGUGGGGGAUGACGGCCUUCGGGUUGUAAACUCCUUUCGCUAGGGACGAAGCGUUUUUGUGACGGUACCUGGAGAAGAAGCACCGGCUAACUACGUG
rnacentral:rRNA from 1 species